UAUGUGACCGUCUGGACACAGAAACGAAGAGGUAUGGAGAUGUUUGUUCACAUUAUGGUGUUGACAGAUAUGAAAUGGCCGCAAAUUUUACAAAACAUGGUGAAAGAACACCAGGAGCCCUAUUAGAAUACUUGGCAGUCCAUCAACCAAAGCUAACAGUUGCCGAGUUUGCGAGUGUGUUAAAAAAAAAUUGAACAGAGAAAUGACUUUGUCGGGAAUCUAAAGGAAUAUGGUUACCAUGCUUCUAGACCAAUCCCGAAAAGAAUUGCUACUUCUGAAGACUCUGCAUUUGGCACGCUUCAUGAUGUAAAGGUCACGGAUGAGGCAAAUCUUCGGAAAAAUAAAGUAGGUCUAAAUGACAGCAACGAAAGUGCCUUUUUACCCGAAGGCUCUGAAGUAGAAGAGAAAUUCAACAAUUCCGGCGGCGAGUCGAGUGCUGCUCAUGA